CUUUCUGCUGGAGCCCCAGCCUCUCGCAGGCCACAUGGGAGGUGCUGGCGAGUAACUGCCCCAAGGGGGUUGGUCUCUUGCCUCCCUGCCCCCCCCUUGCUGAGCUGAUGGGCGCGCUGACGUGGCGGCUUCCAUCCCGCUGGCUGCUGCUUUCUCGGUAUCCUCCUCCGGGCCCCUCACCUCCCACCCUACCUCCCAACCUGUUCAUUGCCUCCUCUGGCUUUGGUGCUUGUGAGACCGUCCAGGAUAAUUAAGAGAGAGAAGUUUUAUGCUGUUUAUGGGGCUUCGAUCAAAGAUUUUAAUUAACCUACCUUGCUUUAAGCCUUUGAAAGUUCAUUCCCCAGGGCCGACCGUUUGAUAAUGGAAUUAAUACUUCCAGGCAGCGUGGAAGGUGGAGGCCCAGACAUGGGGGCCCAGUGACUGUCUCAUUAACCCUUCCCAAGAAGGAUGGAUUUCAGCUCAUCCUGAAGGAUUCAUCUCGACCGGAGCUACUCACUGAUGAAAGGCGGUGCCAGGAAUGGUGGUGAGAUCCCCGUCACUGGAGGCAUGUCAGCAGACCCUAGACGAGCUCCCGGGAGGAAUCUUGAGGCCAUGGUAAGCAGCUCGUGUCAUGCGUAGACGUUGGAGGAAGUGAGUGAGGAAGAGCUCUCGUCUCUACCCCAUCGGCUCUGAGAAGACAGAAACACUAAAAUCUCAACGAAGGCAUAUUCCUGAGUCUCUGCAGUGCGCCCCGGGCGGCGGGAGAAGAGAGGAAGUGCGAGGCCUGAGGUCUCCCCUCACCUUCGAGAAGUUCGGGGAAGAAAAGCCACGGGUGCUCCUUUGUAAAAGGUAACAUAAAUUUAGAGUUUGAUUAAGCAAGAGGGGAGAGCAGCAACUGGCAUUCCCUGGGACAAGCACUUCUUACUAUAGUGGUCAUUCUACUAAGUAGGCAGUUAUAGGGAAUGGUAUCCUGGGCUGUUUGCUACAGUGCAGGGCCUGUGAGUAAGGGCCGUGCUCAGGGAUCGCACCGUCUGGCCUCAGUCCCGACCCCACCCUCAGCUCUGUGGCCCUGGUCAGGUUUCUGGGCCUCUCUGGGCAAAAUGGGAGCAAGGACAGUCCCUAUCUCAAAGGCUGCUCUGGGGGAUUGGGUGACUGAGACACCGAGCUCAGGUGUUACCAGGGCCUGGCACACAGCAAGCGCUCUGUGAGCGGGAGCUGCGGCUGUUUGCUACCGUGGUUACCGUCUUGUGGGGCCUGCUGUCCGCGCCGGGGAAAGCCAGCCGUGGGGGCAAGGGGAGGAACCCAGGGCUGUGUGUGGGGGGGCUUUCAGGCCCUGCCCGGGCUUCACGCGCAAGGCUGGUUAAUAUGCAUCAGGCUUCCCUCCUUCCCCAAGUGCCCUCUCCAGAUCAUUGCUUCUCUGAUUAAUUCCUCAGAACAAAGCAUCCGGCACUUACGUUUGAUUGAACAGAGGAUCCCACAGGCCCUUCCCACUGCUGGCUCCCCAGGCCUUUCUGCAGGGCUUACUCUGUGGAAGUAUCCAUGGGGCCGGGGGUCGAUGCCCGGAUCUGGGCCGUAAAGCAGCUGGUUUGCUGGCUCUUGGGGGACAGUUUCACACCAGAACCAGCUUCAGUGAGAGACAUUUGAUAUCCGACUCACUGAUGUGUCAGGUCAAAAUCUGUCAGUAGACGAAAGUGCUUCUCCUUUCCAAAG